rnacentral:rRNA from 1 species
AUUGAACGCUGGCGGCAUGCCUUACACAUGCAAGUCGAACGGCAGCACGGGGGCAACCCUGGUGGCGAGUGGCGAACGGGUGAGUAAUGCAUCGGAACGUGCCCUGAAGUGGGGGAUAACGUAGCGAAAGUUACGCUAAUACCGCAUAUUCUGUGAGCAGGAAAGCAGGGGAUCGCAAGACCUUGCGCUUUAGGAGCGGCCGAUGUCGGAUUAGCUAGUUGGUGGGGUAAGAGCUCACCAAGGCGACGAUCCGUAGCGGGUCUGAGAGGAUGAUCCGCCACACUGGGACUGAGACACGGCCCAGACUCCUACGGGAGGCAGCAGUGGGGAAUUUUGGACAAUGGGCGCAAGCCUGAUCCAGCCAUGCCGCGUGAGUGAAGAAGGCCUUCGGGUUGUAAAGCUCUUUCGGCG